UAUACCUCAAAAAACUCAUCGGGUACCAGAGGCAACACAAGCAAAACGUCCUUCCCGAGUCCCGAUCGCUCCCUCUGCGUCUGCUCACUUCUCCAUGACCACUGAUGCAGCCUUUUCGCUUAAGCGGAUUCCCGGAGUCCAGGAGCCAUCCAACGCUAGUAGUGAAGCUGCAGACAGUAAUGGUGGUCAACCUAGUGCUUUAUACGGCGAGAUCCUUUAAACUCGCCUUCCGAAACGCAGCACGUCUUGAAAUCGCCAACCAUGUAUACCUCAAAUUACUCAUCGGGUACCAGAGGCAACACAAGCAAAACGUCCUUCCCGAGUCCCGAUCGCUCCCUCUGCGUCUGCUCACUUCUCCAUGACCACUGAUGCAGCCUUUUCGCUUAAAUUCCCGGAGUCCUGGAGCCAUCCAACGCUAGUAGUGAAGCUGCAGACAGUAAUGGUGGUCAACCUAGUGCUUUAUACGGCGAGAUCCUUUAAACUCGCCUUCCGAAACGCAGUACGUCUUGAAAUCGCCAACCACGUAUACCUCAAAAAACUCAUCGGGUACCAGAGGCAACACAAGCAAAACGUCCUUCCCGAGUCCCGAUCGCUCCCUCUGCGUCUGCUCACUUCUCCAUGACCACUGAUGCAGCCUUUUCGCUUAAGCGGAUUCCCGGAGUCCAGGAGCCAUCCAACGCUAGUAGUGAAGCUGCAGACAGUAAUGGUGGUCAACCUAGUGCUUUAUACGGCGAGAUCCUUUAAACUCGCCUUCCGAAACGCAGCACGUCUUGAAAUCGCCAACCAUGUAUACCUCAAAUUACUCAUCGGGUACCAGAGGCAACACAAGCAAAACGUCCUUCCCGAGUCCCGAUCGCUCCCUCUGCGUCUGCUCACUUCUCCAUGACCACUGAUGCAGCCUUUUCGCUUAAAUUCCCGGAGUCCUGGAGCCAUCCAACGCUAGUAGUGAAGCUGCAGACAGUAAUGGUGGUCAACCUAGUGCUUUAUACGGCGAGAUCCUUUAAACUCGCCUUCCGAAACGCAGUACGUCUUGAAAUCGCCAACCGCGUAUACCUCAAAAAACUCAUCGGGUACCAGAGGCAACACAAGCAAAACGUCCUUCCCGAGUCCCGAUCGCUCCCUCUGCGUCUGCUCACUU